rnacentral:rRNA from 1 species
UACGUAGGGGGCGAGCGUUGUCCGGAUUUAUUGGGCGUAAAGAGCUCGUAGGCGGUUUGGCAAGUCGGGUGUGAAAACUCCGGGCUCAACUCGGAGACGCCACUCGAUACUGCCAUGACUCGAGUCCGGUAGGGGAGUGCGGAAUUCCUGGUGUAGCGGUGAAAUGCGCAGAUAUCAGGAGGAACACCGGUGGCGAAGGCGCCGCUCUGGGCCGAAACUGACGCUGAGGAGCGAAAGCGUGGGGAGCGAACAGG